AGUGAACGCUGGCGGUAGGCCUAACACAUGCAAGUCGAACGGCAGCACAGUAAGAGCUUGCUCUUACGGGUGGCGAGUGGCGGACGGGUGAGGAAUACAUCGGAAUCUACUUUUUCGUGGGGGAUAACGUAGGGAAACUUACGCUAAUACCGCAUACGACCUACGGGUGAAAGCAGGGGAUCUUCGGACCUUGCGCGAUUGAAUGAGCCGAUGUCGGAUUAGCUAGUUGGCGGGGUAAAGGCCCACCAAGGCGACGAUCCGUAGCUGGUCUGAGAGGAUGAUCAGCAACACUGGAAAUGAGACACGGUCCAGACGCCGACGGGAGGCAGCAGUGGGGAAUAUUGGACAAUGGGCGCAAGCCUGAUCCAGCCAUACCGCGUGGGUGAAGAAGGCCUUCGGGUUGUAAAGCCCUUUUGUUGGGAAAGAAAAGCAGCAGGUUAAUACCCCGCUGUUCUGACGGUACCCAAAGAAUAAGCACCGGCUAACUUCGUG
rnacentral:rRNA from 1 species